rnacentral:snoRNA from 1 species
UGGCGCCAUUAGUCUUCCCUUCUGGGCGUGCCAAUCGGCUGGAAGGACGUUUUUACGGUGCUACAUAACCGAGUUGAACGCGGUGCGGGGCUGGGCUGUACAUCCCGGUUACCGCUGAGGUUCUCCACUACAUCC